rnacentral:rRNA from 1 species
GACGAAGGAUGCAAGCGUUAUCCGGAUUCAUUGGGUUUAAAGGGGGCGUAGGCGGGCAUUUAAGUCAGUGUUGAAAUACCUGGGCUUAACUUGGGAACUGCCAUUGAUACUAUUUGUCUUGAAUGUCGUGGAGGUUAGCGGAAUAUGUCAUGUAGCGGUGAAAUGCUUAGAUAUGACAUAGAACACCUAUUGCGAAGGCAGCUAACUACGCGAAUAUUGACGCUGAGGCACGAAAGCGUGGGGAUCAAACAGG